UAUCAGCAAGACCCAAAGAAAGAAGACUGGCUGAAGGAAUCCGCACACAGCUUGUUAACAGUGAGGCACAAGAGAAGGCAUAGAUGCAGUGAGUACAUAGUACAUGAUAGAUGAAACCAAACCAACAAGCAGCGUGAACAACUUAUUAAGAAUAAAGUCUACUCCAAAGUUUGGCAGGAGUAAUUUAUACAAAGCAGCCUCAAACCUGACCUGCGAGCUCCCAGACAUGA